rnacentral:lncRNA from 10 species
UGCAACUGGACAGCACUGACCCAGAGACAGGGGUUAAAAUGGACCUUCCUUCCUAUCAAGCCAUGGACUAAUGAUUAAGGAGUGGGACCAUUUAUCAGACCUGUCUAGUCUAUGAAUUCCACCCCAAGGGCCACAGUUGUGCACGGGCAUUGAGCCAAUCCCUGGACUUCUGCUGGCACGUGGGAGGAAGGACUCUCUCUUUCCAUGAGGAUUGCUGAGAGGAAGCCUAGGGCUGCCAGCAAUCAUCCUGCCACCGCACGGGAGGUGCACACCUGAAUGAAGGUAACAGCCGCAGAGAGCAAAGCCCACAUGGAGGAGCCAGGACAGGAUGGGGACAACAAGGCUUGAGCCCCUAGAUCCGGGCAUGCCUGGCCUUUUAGGCCGAGGACACUAGAAAGGUCAAGACAGCAGAGUGGGUUUCAAAGUGCUGAGUCCCUGUGCAAUAGGGCCCCUUCACAGCGCCCAGGGCCCAGCUCUCUACGUCCCUGAUAAACUACAGCAUGCAGGUGGGUGCAGAGACUUAGGUUCGUGUGCAAAGCUAAGAUUCCGUGCAGGGCUGGUUUCCAGGGGAUGUGACAUAUGCAGUGGCCCAGAGUCCCAUUUUCAGAAGGACUCAGUGUUUGGUUUAAUGCUUUGUUACCACUGUCCUGAAAUUCUUUAUAAUUGUAUUUUUUGAAUCUGUGAUUUGUACGUGAAAUCCAGUGGAGCAAUGGAGCAUGCCUGUGAGCAGAGGAGACACCCAAAAGAUGGUGUCUGCUGCUCCUUGCUGCCCUGUUCACACGCAGCACAGAAUUCUGGUGUGCUGCUACAGUGCAGGUAUCCUCAAAUGGACUUCACUUUAAUAGGUCACUUUGCACUGUGGCUGUCAGGUAGCUCGAGCUCACUGGAAAAUUAAAAUUAAGGCAUUAAAGGUAAGAGUGUUCUGUAGAGCCUCUUUCAUUUUCAGUUCUGUCAGUAAACAGACACAGGAUUGCCUGCUUUCUCCUAAAACAGAGAUGUGGCUCCUAUCAGCCUAAAUGACGAGCAGGGUCCCAACAGCCAUGUCCACCCUAUUCUGAUGCCCAACUCCUCAGUGAGACUUCCAGAUAAGCUCAUGGGGUUCUGUGGUCCCACUACUACUGUGCUCCAAACCCAAAGUGCAGAAGCCCAUUUUUCAGAGGCUCAAAGGGUGCCCACACCUGUCCUCCCCGCUGAUUUGGAUAUUACACCACAAGAUUAUCUGAUGUAAAUCUGGACACUUCCUCUUGAUCUAAUUCCUCCUGACAACACACACACACCCAACCCUAACCUCAACCUGGGAUGAGUCUCUCAUAUUCCCAUUUAGUCUGAGAACUCCCUUGGCUGACUUUUACAGCCUCUUUGGGGCAAAUCUCUCAGGGAUGUUAGGGCAGUGCAGAGCCAAUAUUAUCUUGUAGGUAAGGCACAUAUCUUGUGACAUGGCUACCACCAAGCCUAGGUUCCUGUAAAUCAGACUGUCAUUUAAUUCCCGUGGGAAGCAGUGACAUGGUAUUUCUCAAAGAAGAAAACAGAAUGGCUGAAGAAAGC